GACGAACGCUGGCGGCGUGCCUAAUACAUGCAAGUUGAGCGCUGAAGGUUGGUACUUGUACCAACUGGAUGAGCAGCGAACGGGUGAGUAACGCGUGGGGAAUCUGCCUUUGAGCGGGGGACAACAUGUGGAAACGAAUGCUAAUACCGCAUAAAAACUUUAAACACAAGUUUUAAGUUUGAAAGAUGCAAUUGCAUCACUCAAAGAUGAUCCCGCGUUGUAUUAGCUAGUUGGUGAGGUAAAGGCUCACCAAGGCGAUGAUACAUAGCCGACCUGAGAGGGUGAUCGGCCACAUUGGGACUGAGACACGGCCCAAACUCCUACGGGAGGCAGCAGUAGGGAAUCUUCGGCAAUGGACGAAAGUCUGACCGAGCAACGCCGCGGGAGUGAAGAAGGUUUUCGGAUCGUAAAACUCGGUUGGUAGAGAAGAACGUUGGUGAGAGUGGAAAGCUCAUCAAGUGACGGUAACUACCCAGAAAGGGACGGCUAACUACGUG
rnacentral:rRNA from 1 species